UUUUAGUCUCAAUUCCGAAUACUUAAGUAUUACAAGUUAUGUUCUUUAAAUUUAAAGGAUUUGGCGGUUAUUUAGUCUAGUUAGAGGAACCUGUUUAAUAAACGAUAAACCACGCAGAAUCUUACCUACUCCCACAGCUUGUAUACCGUCAUUAUUAGAUAACUCUCAAAGGAUUAGUUAUUUCAAUAACCUAAAAUUAAUAUAUUAGAUCAAGGUGCAGCCUAUGAGCAGGUUAAAAUGGGUUACAAUAAAACUUAUUUAUACGAAUGUAAAAUUUCAAUAUUUUCCUAAAGGAGGAUUUAAUAGUAAAUUUAGUUUAAUAAGCUAACUUGAUAAUAGAUCUAAAUAAAGUACAUAUCGCCCGUCGCUUUCAUUUCCCAAAUGAAAUAAGUCGUAACAUAG
rnacentral:rRNA from 1 species